GAGUAACACGUGGAUAACCUACCUAUAAGACUGGGAUAACUUCGGGAAACCGGAGCUAAUACCGGAUAACAUAUUGAACCGCAUGGUUCAAUAGUGAAAGGCGGCUUUGCUGUCACUUAUAGAUGGAUCCGCGCCGUAUUAGCUAGUUGGUAAGGUAACGGCUUACCAAGGCAACGAUACGUAGCCGACCUGAGAGGGUGAUCGGCCACACUGGAACUGAGACACGGUCCAGACUCCUACGGGAGGCAGCAGUAGGGAAUCUUCCGCAAUGGGCGAAAGCCUGACGGAGCAACGCCGCGUGAGUGAUGAAGGUCUUCGGAUCGUAAAACUCUGUUAUCAGGGAAGAACAAAUGUGUAAGUAACUGUGCACAUCUUGACGGUACCUGAUCAGAAAGCCACGGCUAACUACGUGCCAGCAGCCGCGGUAAUACGUAGUGGCAAGCGUUAUCCGGAAUUAUUGGGCGUAAAGCGCGCGUAGGCGGUUUUUUAAGU
rnacentral:rRNA from 1 species